AAUCAACGCUGGCGGCGUGCCUCAGACAUGCAAGUCGAACGCGAAAGUCCCCUUCGGGGGACGAGUAGAGUGGCGCACGGGUGAGUAACACGUAGGUAAUCUACCUUCGGAUGGGGAAUAACAACCGGAAACGGUUGCUAAUACCGCAUAAUGCAGCGGCACCUAAUGGUGACAGUUGUUAAAGCGGGGGAUCGUAAGACCUCGCGUCUGAAGAGGAGCCUGCGGCAGAUUAGCUAGUUGGUAAGGUAAUGGCUUACCAAGGCGAUGAUCUGUAGCCGGCCUGAGAGGGCGGUCGGCCACACUGACACUGACAUACGGGUCAGACUCCUACGGGAGGCAGCAGUCGGGAAUUUUGGGCAAUGGGCGAAAGCCUGACCCAGCAACGCCGCGUGAAGGAUGAAAUCCUUCGGGAUGUAAACUUCGCAAGAACGGGAAGAAUAAGUAAGAGCUAACAUACUCUUACGAUGACGGUA
rnacentral:rRNA from 1 species